UACGAAGGGUGCAAGCGUUACUCGGAAUUACUGGGCGUAAAGCGUGCGUAGGUGGUGAGUUAAGUCUGUCGUGAAAGCCCCGGGCUCAACCUGGGAAUGGCGAUGGAUACUGGCUCGCUAGAGUGCGGUAGAGGAGAGUGGAAUUCCCGGUGUAGCAGUGAAAUGCGUAGAGAUGUGGAGGAACACCAGUGGCGAAGGCGACUCUUUGGCCUGUAACUGACACUGAGGCGCGAAAGCGUGGGGAGCAAACAGG
rnacentral:rRNA from 1 species